rnacentral:rRNA from 1 species
UACGUGGGGGGUAAGCGUUGUUCGGAAUUACUGGGCGUAAAGGGCUCGUAGGCGGCCAACUAAGUCAUACGUGAAAUCCCUCAGCUUAACUGGGGAACUGCGUGUGAUACUGGAUGGCUUGGAUGUGGGAGAGGGAUGCGGAAUUCCAGGUGUAGCGGUGAAAUGCGUAGAUAUCUGGAGGAACACCGGUGGCGAAGGCGGCAUCCUGGACCAUUAUUGACGCUGAGGAGCGAAAGCCAGGGGAGCAAACGGG